rnacentral:lncRNA from 1 species
AUCUCCGUUGUAUGUCUGGAAAUCUGUGUCUGUCUUUGGCUUCCCAAAAACAUUUGCUGCAUCACAUUCACAUCAACAUCAUUUACUGAGCUAGUUCAUCAUCUUAAUUAUCCAUCACCCACAACCAGUGGCGGAGGUAGGAUAUAUAUUAAGGGUGUUCAAAAAAAAUUGUAUUGCAGCUCACAGGAAUCAAACCUGCAAUCUUCUACAUAUUUUGAACACCCUUGACCAUUGAGUCAAGCAUGUGCCUUGUGUUAAGGGUGUUCAAAACUUAAUAUUAUAGAGAUAAAAAAUAAAUUUUGUCUUGUAUAAGGGUAUUCGGGUGAAUACCUUUGCGCCCCCUGCCUCUGCCCCUGCCCACAACGAAUUUCUGAAUAACCACCGGGCUCAACAUCAUUUACUCAUGAGCUAGUUCAUCAUCUUAAUUAUCCAUCGCCCACAACUAAUUUCUAAAUAACCAGCGGGCUCAACUUUGUCAAUAGUUAUGAAGCAUUUCCAAUAAUUACAAGGAACAUUCGAACUCUGAUUUGUACCUAAUUCUCACUAUCAAAGGUGGUCGAGCAAUCAAAAUCACCUCUAUAUCAUUUCCAAACAGCAAUAGGUGUAUAUCCCAGAUAUAUAGGCGAAAAUUUCGACACCUAUAAUGAUCUCUCAGGAAUUACAAGAGGGAUAAAUUAGGCUUGAAGAGUUGUGUCUCUCAUUUAUAAUUAUAUACUGUUAACAAAGAACAUGAUGUAACAUGUAACAACAAUAUACUUUUAGGAAUAGAGGAGGUAGGGCAUUACGUGCCUCUAGGGAUAGUUUUACCAGCGUGCAUUCUAUUAAAAGUUUAUAUUUAGUGCAUUGACAUCUAUAUUUCUCGAGCUUUCUGAAAACGUCGCCAGGUGUAUGUUAGAUUUUCAAAUGUAGUGCAUUUUUUGAGGUACCGGCACUAGUGCAUUAACAUUUUAGAGAGUGUGUAACAUUGAUUGACAACUUCAAAAUCUUCACACUAUCCAAGUUAAUUUGAUUCGCAACAACAUGUAACUCUCUAUAUCAAAUAUAAUACGUAACACACAAAAUAAAGUGAAGAUCUACUAUGUAUAGCCAAUCAAGUUGCACUGUGUAAAAGAUUCGUACACUAUCACUGUAUUAUAACUUAAACUGAUAUGGCAACCUGAAAAUUAUAGUAAUAACAUGUUAUACCUUAUUAAAUUGUACUGAUAGUGUAAAAAGUUCUUUAAACUAUCAAUGUAUAUUCAGACGUAGUUUGACUCGGCAUGGGUUGAACUUUUAAAAUUUGUGGGCUUAAAAGCUUAAAAGUUAUAGAAUUUAUGUAAAUACAAAAGUUUACAAAAUGGAAAGUUUAAAGUGAAAUUAUUGAAAGGGAAAGAAUACCAGCUUCUCCAUAAGCAGCAUCAGCAGGGGAAACCUUGG